rnacentral:lncRNA from 1 species
ACAACUUCUCUGUGCUCUGUGGAAACUUAUGAAACCUGGUGGUGUACUCAGGAGCCAGGAUGAAAACCAGCAGCAUGGACCCAAGAAGUGUGGCCAGAGGGAAGAAACUUGAAGCCACAUGUCUACAGCAGUGUCCUGGCAGUCAGGAAUAAAUGGACACACUUUCCAAGGUCAUGAGAAAGAAAUGCAAUUAGUAUGUAAAACAGCGGCUCUCCUGGAAAUGACUGCUCGGGGGCUGAGCUCAGAUGAGAAGAUUUACAACAGAGAAAAGCUGUGUGAAGCCACUGGAUGUGGAUAUGCAGGAGACACCAACGUGGCAAAAAUCACUAAGGGCCCUAGAGGGCGACUGAGAAUUAGAAACAGGAUUUGAGCUACAGGUGAUGUUCUGUCUUUGAAGGUGGAGUCUUUAAGCUUCGCGUCUCGUACACGCUUUCUGCUUUCCCAAAUGCUACCCAAUAUAUGUUUUCAAUUGAACUUUGAAACUAACAUUCUAUGUUUUUGGAGAAAACGUAGAAGUCAUUAUGAAACUAAUAAUAGCAUCGAAGGUGCUGUUCAUUCAGACAGUGUCCCAGAGUUGGGGACAUUAAAAAAAUGUCAUUCCUAAA